rnacentral:rRNA from 1 species
ACUGCGAAUACCGGAGAAUGUUAUCACGGGAGACACACGGCGGGUGCUAACGUCCGUCGUGAAGAGGGAAACAACCCAGACCGCCAGCUAAGGUCCCAAAGUCAUGGUUAAGUGGGAAACGAUGUGGGAAGGCCCAGACAGCCAGGAUGUUGGCUUAGAAGCAGCCAUCAUUUAAAGAAAGCGUAAUAGCUCACUGGUCGAGUCGGCCUGCGCGGAAGAUGUAACGGGGCUAAACCAUGCACCGAAGCUGCGGCAGCGACACUGUGUGUUGUUGGGUAGGGGAGCGUUCUGUAAGCCUGUGAAGGUGGCCUGUGAGGGUUGCUGGAGGUAUCAGAAGUGCGAAUGCUGACAUAAGUAACGAUAAAGCGGGUGAAAAGCCCGCUCGCCGGAAGACCAAGGGUUCCUGUCCAACGUUAAUCGGGGCAGGGUGAGUCGACCCCUAAGGCGAGGCCGAAAGGCGUAGUCGAUGGGAAACGGGUUAAUAUUCCCGUACUUGGUGUUACUGCGAAGGGGGGACGGAGAAGGCUAUGUUGGCCGGGCGACGGUUGUCCCGGUUUAAGCGUGUAGGUGUGUGUUCCAGGUAAAUCCGGUUCACUUUAACACUGAGGCGUGAUGACGAGGCACUACGGUGCUGAAGCAACAAAUGCCCUGCUUCCAGGAAAAGCCUCUAAGCAUCAGGUAACAUCAAAUCGUACCCCAAACCGACACAGGUGGUCAGGUAGAGAAUACCAAGGCGCUUGAGAGAACUCGGGUGAAGGAACUAGGCAAAAUGGUGCCGUAACUUCGGGAGAAGGCACGCUGACACGUAGGUGAAGUGAUUUACUCAUGGAGCUGAAGUCAGUCGAAGAUACCAGCUGGCUGCAACUGUUUAUUAAAAACACAGCACUGUGCAAACACGAAAGUGGACGUAUACGGUGUGACGCCUGCCCGGUGCCGGAAGGUUAAUUGAUGGGGUCAGCGCAAGCGAAGCUCCUGAUCGAAGCCCCGGUAAACGGCGGCCGUAACUAUAACGGUCCUAAGGUAGCGAAAUUCCUUGUCGGGUAAGUUCCGACCUGCACGAAUGGCGUAAUGAUGGCCAGGCUGUCUCCACCCGAGACUCAGUGAAAUUGAACUCGCUGUGAAGAUGCAGUGUACCCGCGGCAAGACGGAAAGACCCCGUGAACCUUUACUAUAGCUUGACACUGAACAUUGAGCCUUGAUGUGUAGGAUAGGUGGGAGGCUUUGAAGUGUGGACGCCAGUCUGCAUGGAGCCGACCUUGAAAUACCACCCUUUAAUGUUU